UACGAAGGGGGCGAGCGUUGUUCGGAUUUACUGGGCGUAAAGGGCGCGCAGGCGGCUCAUUUUGUCAGGCGUGAAAGCCCCGGGCUUAACCUGGGAACUGCGUUUGUGACUGCAUGGCUUGAGUGCGGCAGAGGGGGAUGGAAUUCCGCGUGUAGCAGUGAAAUGCGUAGAUAUGCGGAGGAACACCGAUGGCGAAGGCAAUCCCCUGGGCCUGCACUGACGCUCAUGCACGAAAGCGUGGGGAGCAAACAGG
rnacentral:rRNA from 1 species